GUGCCAGCCGCCGCGGUAAUACGUAGGGUGCAAGCGUUAAUCGGAAUUACUGGGCGUAAAGCGUGCGCAGGCGGUUUUGUAAGACAGAGGUGAAAUCCCCGGGCUCAACCUGGGAACUGCCUUUGUGACUGCAAGGCUAGAGUGUGUCAGAGGGGGGUGGAAUUCCACGUGUAGCAGUGAAAUGCGUAGAUAUGCGGAGGAACACCGAUGGCGAAGGCAAUCCCCUGGGCCUGUACUGACGCUCAUGCACGAAAGCGUGGGGAGCAAACAGGAUUAGAUACCCUGGUAGUCCACGCCCUAAACGAUGUCAACUGGUUGUUGGGUCUUUGCUGACUCAGUAACGAAGCUAACGCGUGAAGUUGACCGCCUGGGGAGUACGGCCGCAAGGUUGAAACUUAAAGAAAUUGGCGG
rnacentral:rRNA from 1 species